rnacentral:rRNA from 1 species
AUUGAACGCUGGCGGCAUGCCUUACACAUGCAAGUCGAACGGUAACAGGUCUUCGGAUGCUGACGAGUGGCGAACGGGUGAGUAAUACAUCGGAACGUGCCCGAUCGUGGGGGAUAACGGAGCGAAAGCUUUGCUAAUACCGCAUACGAUCUACGGAUGAACGCAGGGGACCGCAAGGCCUUGCGCGGACGGAGCGGGCGAUGGCAGAUUAGGUAGUUGGUGGGAUAAAAGCUUACCAAGCCGACGAUCUGUAGCUGGUCUGAGAGGACGACCAGCCACACUGGGACUGAGACACGGCCCAGACUCCUACGGGAGGCAGCAGUGGGGAAUUUUGGACAAUGGGCGAAAGCCUGAUCCAGCCAUGCCGCGUGCAGGAUGAAGGCCUUCGGGUUGUAAACUGCUUUUGUACGGAACGAAAAGACUCUUUCUAAUAAAGAGGGUCCAUGACGGUACCGUAAGAAUAAGCACCGGCUAACUACGUG